GACUUACCGCAGCCAUAUCUCUGUUGCAAGCCCGCGUUGCUUGUAAAACAGCUCCGUGAAUUCGUAGCACUUCAGAUGAAUUUGAAGAGUGAAGAGGUUGAAUUGUUAGUAACAAGAAGAGGAGCAGGAGAAGAUGCGACAAUAGAGAAUCUCCCUGUAGUGACUUCAGCUUCAGCACCAUCAUCCAAAGAUGAGAUGCAAAGUCUCGAAGACAAUGAAGCAUUGUCAAGGCUCAAAGUCGAUUUCAUUUCCAGCCAUGAACAACAUUUGAUCAUAGCUUACCAGAAGAAGCAAACCGAGUGAAGAAACUUGGGAGCCUAAGGACGUGCUGCGAAGUGCGAACAAUGUAUUAUAUACAAACAGAUGGAUCAGGGCAUGUUUGUCCGUUUGCUAGAUUAUAUAUCUCAGUUGCUUUUUAGUUUUAGGAAGUUUUUCAUUUGUGACAGACUUAGUAUUUAUAAGGCAAACCUUUUGUUUUACUACAUAUAUAUGGGAAAAUGUCAUGAAAACCCACUUUGGGUGUGAGUUCUGUCACAAAAACCCAUUUUCCACUCAUGGUAUACUUUCCCAAGUUUUUUGUUUAUGUGUCCACUUUUCUUUUACA